rnacentral:rRNA from 1 species
AGAGUUUGAUCCUGGCUCAGAUUGAACGCUGGCGGCAGGCCUAACACAUGCAAGUCGAACGGUAGCACAGAGGAGCUUGCUCCUUGGGUGACGAGUGGCGGACGGGUGAGUAAUGUCUGGGAAACUGCCCGAUGGAGGGGGAUAACUACUGGAAACGGUAGCUAAUACCGCAUAACGUCGCAAGACCAAAGAGGGGGACCUUCGGGCCUCUUGCCAUCGGAUGUGCCCAGAUGGGAUUAGCUAGUAGGUGGGGUAACGGCUCACCUAGGCGACGAUCCCUAGCUGGUCUGAGAGGAUGACCAGCCACACUGGAACUGAGACACGGUCCAGACUCCUACGGGAGGCAGCAGUGGGGAAUAUUGCACAAUGGGCGCAAGCCUGAUGCAGCCAUGCCGCGUGUAUGAAGAAGGCCUUCGGGUUGUAAAGUACUUUCAGCGAGGAGGAAGGCGUUGUGGUUAAUAACCGCAGCGAUUGACGUUACUCGCAGAAGAAGCACCGGCUAACUCCGUGCCAGCAGCCGCGGUAAUACGGAGGGUGCAAGCGUUAAUCGGAAUUACUGGGCGUAAAGCGCACGCAGGCGGUCUGUCAAGUCGGAUGUGAAAUCCCCGGGCUCAACCUGGGAACUGCAUCCGAAACUGGCAGGCUAGAGUCUUGUAGAG